rnacentral:rRNA from 1 species
GACGAACGCUGGCGGCGUGCUUAACACAUGCAAGUCGAACGGAAAGGCCCUGCUUUUGUGGGGUGCUCGAGUGGCGAACGGGUGAGUAACACGUGAGUAACCUGCCCUUGACUUUGGGAUAACUUCAGGAAACUGGGGCUAAUACCGGAUAGGAGCUCCUGCUGCAUGGUGGGGGUUGGAAAGUUUCGGCGGUUGGGGAUGGACUCGCGGCUUAUCAGCUUGUUGGUGGGGUAGUGGCUUACCAAGGCUUUGACGGGUAGCCGGCCUGAGAGGGUGACCGGCCACAUUGGGACUGAGAUACGGCCCAGACUCCUACGGGAGGCAGCAGUGGGGAAUAUUGCACAAUGGGCGGAAGCCUGAUGCAGCAACGCCGCGGGCGGGAUGACGGCCUUCGGGUUGUAAACCGCUUUCGGCUGUGACGAAGCGUGAGUGACGGUAAUGGGUAAAGAAGCACCGGCUAACUACGUGC